UGUCAAACACAGAAAUAUACUUGGUCUACACUGGAAAAGGAAAAAAGAACAUGUUGUCACCCAUACCUGAUAGGGGAGACGCUAUUAUGCAAACCCGUUAACCGAGAGGGUCAAGCUGAAUGAGGUUUUGCCUGUUGGAACUGGUAUAUGCAAAAGAUGUAUAGAAACACACUUUAAAAAAUCAGUAUGGAAGUAAAGCUGAAGGAAGAGCUUAAAGCAGAAAUGUGUUCCUAUUGACAAGGCAACAAUUGAAUCAAACCAAACAGAGCAAAGAGUGGAGGAAAAUGGAAGAAGUCAUGGACUUAACAGAAAACAUAUGACCUAAUACCUGCA